AUCAAGCUGACGAGUCCCAAAUAGAACGAAACACGCGUCCUGGAU
rnacentral:hammerhead_ribozyme from 1 species